rnacentral:tRNA from 1 species
GGGAUACAGCUCACUGGUAGAGCCCUUGCCUAGCAUGAGUGAGGCCCUGGGUUCAAUCCCCAGUACUCCCC